AUUGAACGCUGGCGGCCGGCCUUACACAUGCAAGUCGAGCGGAGCGGCGGACGGGUGAGUAAUGCCUAGGAAUCUGCCUGGUAGUGGGGGACAACGUCAGGAAACGGGCGCUAAUACCGCAUACUAUCAGAUGAGCCUUGGGCGGAUGAGGUAGUUGGUGGGGUAAAGGCCUACCAAGUCGACGAUCCGUAACUGGUCUGAGAGGCUGAUCAGUCACACUGGGACUGAGACACGGUCCAGACUCCUACGGGAGGCAGCAGUGGGGAAUAUUGGACAAGGGGCGAAAGCCUGAUCCAGCCAUGCCGCGUGUGUGAAGAAGGGCUUCGGAUUGUAAAGUACUGUCGGCAGGGAGGCGUUACCUGCAGAAGAAGCACCGGCUAACUCCGUGCCAGCAGCCGCGGUAAUUC
rnacentral:rRNA from 1 species